GCUUGCAGUAACUCCCCAUUCCUACUCCCGACCAUGGACAACCGCUCACCUACUUUCUGUUUCUACAAAUGGGUCUCUUUUGGACUUUUUGUCGAUGUGGAGCAUCUUUUCCCGGAGUUACAGGACACGCGUGGGUCUUCUUGAGACAAACUACACGAAAGGAAUGCAUUUGUCGCUGCUGGAUGCCCUUCGAUUUAGCUGAUCCAGGAGCCCACUAAAGGGAAGAAGAUACUCUGCAUUCAGAAUGGAAUCACUGUUGACAUCCAGGACCUUCUCAUCCUCCCAAAGGGCAGGAACUCAAAGAGGGAUUGUGGGAGUGAGUCUAUAUGUUCAUCAGAGGGUAGAAAAUACUUUAUACAAUGUAUCACAUGAAGUCUGGGUAUUAAGUCCUUCCUUCAAAGUUUCAAAACAUUCACUUUCAUGUAUUGGUUUCCUUGUUGCCACUUGUUCCACAUUGGCACAAAUGGCAACACUGUAACACUGACCCCUCCCCCCCAACCAGGAGCCUUGGCACUUAGUAAAAGUAUAAAGACUCCUUCAGGAAUAGUGCUUUCAAGCCAUAUGAGGCAUAAGAACCAAUUAAGGAACUUGGGGAAAAUGGGGUGCUCCUGGAGAUGCCCACAGUGGGAAAUGCUGUCCCGUUGAUGUGACCACAUCCUGCUGACUUUGGGUGGGAGCUGGUCCCAGGCCUGAGUGUCCUACCCAGCAGCGCUGAGCUGAAUGUGACCCUCUUAAGUACAGCUGUGUACUUGAUGGCGUAGUGUUACGUGAAUAGACGUGCACAGGCCAGAAUGGAAUGAAGCAAAGCCAAGCAAGAAAGGCUAGGAUAAUUGCCUCCUAAUCAAUGACACAUUUGUAAGGAAUCCAGAUCUUUCUACAACUUGGCAGGGAAGAGCUUCAUUCUGAGGUAAAUCCAGAAACGGGCUCCUCUAAUCUUAACAGUUAACACUUUGCAGUCUCUAGAAUAUUAAUGGGUGAUGCAGAGUACGUGUUCCUGCAUCUGGCUUAUUUGAUCACACUUAAAAAUGUUUAAGAGUUAAGUCUAUCCUGAGGCACUCUUACAAAAUGAGGAUCAGGGAGUGGUCCUCGGACACAUUCAGCAACUGCCUGUUGUGCCAGGAUCCGUCCUCAGAGCAGGUAUGAUCUCAUGAAUCCUUGAAGUUUCCCUAAGCACUUGAUUUCUAUGGUUAUCCCCAUUUUACAGUUGGGAAAACAGAGACCUGGAAUGGCAAAGUAAUGGCACCCACAGCUAUUUGCAGCUCAGCUGCUUUCCCUACCUUAUUUUCACUCGUGCUUACAAGGCUCUGGCCAAGCAGAGCCCUCCUCUCUUCCUGGAGAGCAUGAUUUCUUGCCUCUGGGCCUUUGCUCUACUGAAUUUCCAUUCCCUUUGGCUCUGUUAAAUACCACUGCCUUCAAUAUUGUUGCCCUCCAAUUGGAGGAUUUCUGGUUCGUGAGGAUCACUGCUGUCUCUUGAUGGGGAGGCUCUUCUAGACUCUGUGUCUUUGUUGGGUCUUCUCAGGAGCAGAAGCAGCAGGACCCACGCCCAUCCCUCCCUGAACUGCCGGCUGCCCCCUGCCCUGCCCCGCACAUUCUAAACACUGGGAUUUAUUUAUAGAGUAAAUGUCUGUAGCAAAUUUUGUUUUUGUUUUUGUUUUUUUAAGAUUUUAUUUGUCAGAGAAAGAGAGAGAGAGAGUGCAUAAGCAGGGGGAGUGGCACAUAGAGGGAGAAGCAGGCGCCCCACUGAGCAAGGAGCCAAAUGCUGGACCCCAUCCCAGGACCCUGGGAUCGUGACCCAAGCUGAAGGCAGACACUUAACCAACUGAGCCACCCAAGCAUCCCACAGAUUUUGAUUUUUGUCCUUGAACGAGGAACAUAUACCACUGUGUAAGAAAGACAAUUUUACCAGCAAUGCAAUUAUAUCUGGUUUUUUUGUUUGUUUUUGAGAAUGUUUUGAUCUCCACAAAAUUACAUGUGGACUUGGGUUGUGUGUUUAUCCAGGCUGCUUAGUUGGAAAUGGUUAAUAAAGGAUUGAGUCAGCCUUGGUCCCAGACCCAGGUACUGAGCACGUUGUAUGGGGAGGAGGAGACAAAAGGGCAGUUGACAAAGCAUGACCCCAUGUUAGCUGCUCAGAUACUGAGCACUCACACCUGUACGCCCAGAGCCGCUCUCCACACUUCUACUUUUUUUGUCCGCCUUACCCCUGACCACAGCUGUGUGAGAUGGGCUCUGUUAUUACCUCCCUGUCACAGAUUGGGACAGAGAG